rnacentral:rRNA from 1 species
UGAACCUUUACUAUAGCUUUGCACUGGACUUUGAAUUUGCUUGUGUAGGAUAGGUGGGAGGCUUUGAAGCGUGGACGCCAGUUCGCGUGGAGCCAACCUUGAAAUACCACCCUGGCAACUUUGAGGUUCUAACUCAGGUCCGUUAUCCGGAUCGAGGACAGUGUAUGGUGGGUAGUUUGACUGGGGCGGUCUCCUCCUAAAGAGUAACGGAGGAGUACGAAGGUGCGCUCAGACCGGUCGGAAAUCGGUCGUAGAGUAUAAAGGCAAAAGCGCGCUUGACUGCGAGACAGACACGUCGAGCAGGUACGAAAGUAGGUCUUAGUGAUCCGGUGGUUCUGUAUGGAAGGGCCAUCGCUCAACGGAUAAAAGGUACUCCGGGGAUAACAGGCUGAUAC